UCUGUGGGACAGCGAAGCUGCUCUCUCUCCCCCUGUCUCUGUGGGACAGUGAAGCUGCUCUCUCUCUCUCUCCAGACUGUCACCGGGUCUCUGCCUUUGGUCCUGAUGGUCUCCUCAGAAUUUCCAAGAGGUUUCAAGAAAGAUCAGUCUGCAGACGUUCCUGUGGUAUGUCAUCACAAUGCUGCAGUAUCACCGAGUCCUCCAGAGAAACUACUUUGGGAGUGCAGUGCCUACUCUGACGGUUAUUAAAGCAGCUGCCCACCCACAAACAGUGAGGAAAUGACUGAGCCCUUUUCGGUCUUAAACCAGACACCAGACCAAAAGCUGAGAUUUAAAACUGGAAAUUGCCUGUUUUGUGUGAAUUGCUUUCACAGUAGAUGGAACAAUGAUUCUGUAGUUGAGAUGCUUUUUUCUGGGACACACUCCAAUCCUGCUCUCUCUGUGCCAUUCUUACUGGAUUUUGAGAGACUGUCAGUUAUUCUGGAGGGAUAAUCCAAAGUCUGUGACUCAGUAAAUUGAAAGACCCUGCGCAUUGUGUUCCAAAAGAUUUGGGCGUCAAGGAAACAUAGUCAAAAUCCUGCAAUUCUUUCUGAUAAUGUAACUGCUUAUGUCCUGAGAAGGAGAUCUGAAUGAGAGGCCUUCAGUCAGGACCAUAUCCCGUAAGGAUGUAGCAGAGGUUGUUCAGGGCUAAUUGACAGCACCCUUCACCCCUCACCAACUGCUCGCUGAGUUGCUGCGAGCUGUGACUUUUAACUAAAUAGGUCAGAGAACUUUUCUAAGUGAACCAGCCACCCUGUGCCUCCCACAAACCAAUGGAAACAUCCAGAGAAGGAAGACUGAACAGCAAAGUUCAAAUCAGUACAAGAGUCAUCGCAGCAAAUCCUGUGACCAGGAACCAUCGAACUGAUCUCCCGUCUUUCCAUUAUUUCUCUGUCUAUAAAUUCUGUGCCUGUGGACUUCCCUCCACUCCACCUGAUGAAGGAGCAGUGCUCCAAAACUUGUGA